UACGUAGGGUGCGAGCGUUGUCCGGAAUUAUUGGGCGUAAAGAGCUCGUAGGCGGUCUGUCGCGUCGGAUGUGAAAAGCCCCAUGGCUUAACUGUGGGUCUGCGGUGGAUACGGGGCAGGCUAGAGGCAGGUAGGGGGAGAACGGAAUUCCCGGUGUAGCGGUGAAAUGCGCAGAUAUCGGGAGGAACACCGGUGGCGAAGGCGGUUCUCUGGGCCUGUACUGACGCUGAGGAGCGAAAGCGUGGGGAGCGAACAGG
rnacentral:rRNA from 1 species